GUGCUUGCCACAGCAACACAUAUACUAAAACUGGAUCAAUACAGAGAAGAUUAGCAUGACCCCGUGAAAGGAAGACACGCAAAUCCGUGAAGCACUCCAUUU